rnacentral:tRNA from 1 species
GGCUCGGUGGUUUAGCUGUCUAACAUCACGGUGCCACAGGUAGACCCGACACGCGGGUUCGAAUCCCGCCUGAGCCG